rnacentral:rRNA from 1 species
GACGAAGGGGGCUAGCGUUGUUCGGAAUUACUGGGCGUAAAGCGAGUGUAGGUGGUUGUCGUAGUCAGGCGUGAAAGCCUUGAGCUCAACUCAAGAAAUGCGCUUGAUACUGGGCAGCUAGAGGACCGGAGAGGAUAGUGGAAUUCCCAGUGUAGUGGUGAAAUACGUAGAGAUUGGGAAGAACACCAGUGGCGAAGGCGGCUAUCUGGACGGUUUCUGACACUAAGACUCGAAAGCGUGGGGAGCAAAC